ACAGAGGCGUAGCACCCAAAUUUAUAUUGGUACGGCAGAAAAUUUUAUGAGUUGCGAAGCGAGUCAUCCCGCCUCGUAGAGGCGGUUACUCGGCAGGGGUUCGGGGCCGCUCAAGGCCCCGAGAAUUUUUUUAAUAAAUGGUGCAAAAUCCUGCAUUCUGACCCUUUUCUGACACUGAAAUUUCGCUCCUGAAAAUUCCAUUUUUUAAGAAAUAAACUUCAAAAUACAAAAAAAAAACCAAAAACAACCGUGCAUGAUAUAUGUGUCAAAAAAGUUAACAAUCCAACUGGAUAGGAAAAACGGAAUAUCUUAGCUAAAACUAAUACUUUCAAUUUGUGUUGGACACCUGGUUAGGGCAGUAGGGGUCUUGGCAUGCUGGUUUGAAAUUAUAAAAAUUAAUGUACAAAUAACUUAGAAUUAAGUCUCGUGAUGGCCCCCCUCUAAACAUAGAACGUAGAACAUUUUCGUUCAUCAUCAUUUCUAAAGACAGUGAUUAUAGGGUUAAAAAAUGCAUUCACAAAAAGUUCAGCUGCAC
rnacentral:lncRNA from 1 species